UACGUAGGUGGCAAGCGUUGUCCGGAAUUAUUGGGCGUAAAGCGCGCGCAGGCGGACUAGUAAGUCUAUCUUAAAAGUGCGGGGCUCAACCCCGUGAUGGGGUAGAAACUGGUAGUCUUGAGUGCAGGAGAGGAAAGUGGAAUUCCCAGUGUAGCGGUGAAAUGCGUAGAUAUUGGGAGGAACACCAGUGGCGAAGGCGACUUUCUGGACUGUGUCUGACGCUGAGGCGCGAAAGCCAGGGGAGCGAACGGG
rnacentral:rRNA from 1 species